CCCGUGGGGGUUUCUACACACCGGAGCAUGAGAAGGUCUCCCCUUGGAAACCGUUGCUAUAAGCAGGUCUCCUGACAAGGCUGAGGCAGGACUGCCCCUGGAGCAGGGGUCUUCAAGCUCCAGGACACUAAAGAACCUGCAGGAAGAGACGACUUCUGAAACCAGGUGCCCUGGGCCGAGUGACCCUGCCUCAGGAGAAGGAAGCCUGCUUCGGGGCUGGACAGAGCCGCGUUCACCUGCCCUGUCGAGAAGCUGGCUGGGAUGGUGCCAGAGCUCCGGUCACAGAAGACGGCGCCUCUUCUGGGUGGGAGAGAGGCCCAGACAGACGGUCGGGGGGUGGGAGCGAGAGACACUUCUGACCACACGGCCCCCGGAGCCCUCUAGGCCAGCCCAGGGCCUUGGUGUGCCCACUGGGGGCUGCCUGACUCCCCACAAGAUUAGUGUG
ensembl:lncRNA